rnacentral:rRNA from 1 species
AUUGAACGCUGGCGGCAUGCCUUACACAUGCAAGUCGAACGGCAGCACGGGGGGUAACCCCUGGUGGCGAGUGGCGAACGGGUGAGUAAUAUAUCGGAACGUGUCCUGUAGCGGGGGAUAACCUAUCGAAAGAUGGACUAAUACCGCAUACGACCUACGGGUGAAAGCGGAGGACCGCAAGGCUUCGCACUAUAGGAGCGGCCGAUAUCGGAUUAGCUAGUUGGCGGGGUAACGGCCCACCAAGGCGACGAUCCGUAGCUGGUCUGAGAGGACGAUCAGCCACACUGGAACUGAGACACGGUCCAGACGCCUACGGGAGGCAGCAGUGGGGAAUUUUGGACAAUGGGCGAAAGCCUGAUCCAGCCAUGCCGCGUGAGUGAAGAAGGCCUUCGGGUUGUAAAGCUCUUUCGGCGGGGACGAAACGGUUCGUGCUAAUACCACGGACUACGGACGGUACCCGAAGAAGAAGCACCGGCUAACUACGU